CUUGAAUUUGGGUUUUUAACUUAGGUUUGGGUGGCGGACGGGUGAGUAACGCGUAAAGAACUUGCCUCACAGCUAGGGACAACAUUUGGAAACGAAUGCUAAUACCUAAUAUUAUGAUAAUAGGGCAUCCUAUAAUUAUGAAAGCUAUAAGCGCUGUGAGAGAGCUUUGCGUCCCAUUAGCUAGUUGGAGAGGUAACAGCUCACCAAGGCGAUGAUGGGUAGCCGGCCUGAGAGGGUGACCGGCCACAAGGGGACUGAGACACGGCCCUUACUCCUACGGGAGGCAGCAGUGGGGAAUAUUGGACAAUGGACCAAGAGUCUGAUCCAGCAAUUCUGUGUGCACGAUGAAGUUUUUCGGAAUGUAAAGUGCUUUCAGUUGGGAAGAAAGAAAUGACGGUACCAACAGAAGAAGUGACGGCUAAAUACGUGCCAGCAGCCGCGGUAAUACGUAUGUCACGAGCGUUAUCCGGAUUUAUUGG
rnacentral:rRNA from 1 species